UACGGAGGGUGCAAGCGUUAAUCGGACUUACUGGGCGUAAAGCGUGCGCAGGCGGUUUGUUAAGUCUGUUGUGAAAUCCCCGAGCUCAACUUGGGAAUUGCAAUGGAUACUGGCAGGCUGGAGUAUGGUAGAGGAAGGUGGAAUUCCCGGUGUAGCAGUGAAAUGCGUAGAGAUCGGGAGGAACACCAGUGGCGAAGGCGGCCUUCUGGACCAAUACUGACGCUCAUGCACGAAAGCGUGGGGAGCAAACAGG
rnacentral:rRNA from 1 species